AUGGCAGGGGCGGCGCCGGAUCGGGCGGCGCUGACGGUCGGCCCGGGCAUGGACAUGCCGAUCAUGCACGACAGCGACCGCUACGAGCUGGUGCGCGACAUCGGCUCGGGAAACUUCGGCGUCGCCCGCCUCAUGCGCGACCGCCGCACCAUGGAGCUCGUCGCCGUCAAGUACAUCGAGCGCGGGGAGAAGAUAGACGAGAAUGUCCAGCGUGAGAUAAUCAACCAUAGAUCACUGAAACAUCCCAACAUCAUUAGGUUUAAGGAGGUUAUUUUAACACCGACCCAUCUUGCUAUUGUCAUGGAAUAUGCAUCUGGUGGUGAGCUUUUUGAGAGAAUAUGUAAAAAUAUACGAUUCAGUGAAGACGAGGCUCGCUACUUCUUCCAGCAGCUUAUAUCUGGAGUCAGCUACUGCCAUUCGAUGCAAGUAUGUCACCGUGACUUGAAGCUGGAGAACACAUUGCUGGACGGUAGUCCUGCUCCUCGCUUGAAGAUAUGUGAUUUCGGCUAUUCUAAGUCUUCAGUUCUCCAUUCACAACCAAAAUCAACUGUUGGAACACCUGCUUAUAUUGCACCUGAAGUUCUGUUGAAGAAAGAAUAUGAUGGCAAGAUUGCUGAUGUAUGGUCCUGUGGUGUGACUCUUUAUGUCAUGGUAGUCGGUGCUUAUCCUUUUGAGGAUCCAGAAGAGCCUAAGAACUUUCGGAAGACAAUUCAGCGUAUCUUGAGUGUUCAGUAUUCAAUUCCAGAUAACGUGGACAUAUCUCCAGAGUGCAGGCACCUAAUUUCGAGGAUUUUUGUUGGGGAUCCUGCGUUGAGGAUAACCAUCCCUGAAAUACGGAGCCAUAACUGGUUCUUAAAGAACCUCCCCGCUGAUCUGAUGGACGAUGAUAGUAUGAGCAGCCAAUACGAGGAGCCUGAGCAGCGAAUGCAGACGAUGGACGAGAUCAUGCAAAUUCUAACGGAGGCCACCAUACCACCUGCUUGUUCCCGUAUAAACCACAUCCUAACUGAUGGAUUCGACAUGGACGAUGACAUGGAUGACCUUGAAUCAGACUCAGAUCUUGAUAUCGACAGCAGUGGAGAGAUCGUGUAUGCGAUGUGA
rnacentral:rRNA from 1 species